AGCAGCCGCGGUAAUUCCAGCUCCAAUAGUGUAUAUUAAAGUUGUUGCAGUUAAAAGGCUCGUAGUUGAAUUUCGGGAUUAGUGCGCUGGUCAUGCCUUUGGUAUGUACUGGUGUUACUGAUUUCUACCUUCUGAAGAACCGUUAUGUCAUUCAUUUGGUGUGGCGGGGAAUCAGGACUGUUACUUUGAAAAAAUUGAGUGUUUAAAGCAGGCUCACGCUUGAAUACAUUAGCAUGGAAUAAUGAAAUAGGACGUUUGACCCUAUUUUGUUGGUUUCUAGGAUCGAUGUAAUGAUUAAUAGGGAUAGUUGGGGGCAUUAGUAUUCAAUUGUCAGAGGUGAAAUUCUUGGAUUUAUUGAAGACUAACUACUGCGAAAGCAUUUGCCAAGGAUGUUUUCAUUAAUCAAGAACGAAAGUUAGGGAUCGAAGACGAUCAGAUACCGUCGUAGUCUUAACCAUAAACUAUGACCGACUAGGGAUCGGAUGGAUGUUAAUUUUUAUGUACUCAUUCGGCGUCCG
rnacentral:rRNA from 1 species